rnacentral:rRNA from 1 species
GACGAACGCUGGCGGCGUGCUUAACACAUGCAAGUCGAACGGUAAGGCCCUUCGGGGUACACGAGUGGCGAACGGGUGAGUAACACGUGGGUGAUCUGCCCUGCACUUUGGGAUAAGCCUGGGAAACUGGGUCUAAUACCGAAUAUGACUACAGGCUGCAUGGUCUGUGGUGGAAAGCUUUUGCGGUGUGGGAUGGGCCCGCGGCCUAUCAGCUUGUUGGUGGGGUGAUGGCCUACCAAGGCGACGACGGGUAGCCGGCCUGAGAGGGUGACCGGCCACACUGGGACUGAGAUACGGCCCAGACUCCUACGGGAGGCAGCAAUGGGGAAUAUUGCACAAUGGGCGCAAGCCUGAUGCAGCGACGCCGCGUGAGGGACGACGGCCUUCGGGUUGUAAACCUCUUUCAGCACAGACGAAGCGCAAGUGACGGUAUGUGCAGAAGAAGGACCGGCCAACUACGUG